rnacentral:rRNA from 1 species
UACCAGCACCCCGAGUGGUCGGGACGAUUAUUGGGCCUAAAGCAUCCGUAGCCGGUCCUGCAAGUCUUCCGUUAAAUCCAGCUGCUCAACAGAUGGGCUGCGGGAGAUACUACAGGGCUAGGAGGCGGGAGAGGCAAGCGGUACUCGAUGGGUAGGGGUAAAAUCCGUUGAUCCAUUGAAGACCACCAGUGGCGAAGGCGGCUUGCCCAGAA